rnacentral:misc_RNA from 1 species
UCUGCAGCCCGACUUGAAUGGAGCUCUUUUUGCGUGGAAAAUAAAGUUCGAAUUAUUUACUAAAUUACUUAGCAAAAAAGCGGGAAUGGAAGGCGGAAAAAGCU